GGCGGACGGGUGAGUAAUGCUUGGGAAUAUGCCUUAUGGUGGGGGACAACAGUUGGAAACGACUGCUAAUACCGCAUGACGUCUACGGACCAAAGUGGGGGACCUUCGGGCCUCACGCCAUAAGAUUAGCCCAAGUGGGAUUAGCUAGUUGGUGAGGUAAUGGCUCACCAAGGCGACGAUCCCUAGCUGGUUUGAGAGGAUGAUCAGCCACACUGGGACUGAGACACGGCCCAGACUCCUACGGGAGGCAGCAGUGGGGAAUAUUGCACAAUGGGCGCAAGCCUGAUGCAGCCAUGCCGCGUGUGUGAAGAAGGCCUUCGGGUUGUAAAGCACUUUCAGUAAGGAGGAAAGGUUAAGUGUUAAUAGCACUUAGCUGUGACGUUACUUACAGAAGAAGCACCGGCUAACUCCGUGCCAGCAGCCGCGGUAAUACGGAGGGUGCGAGCGUUAAUCGGAAUUACUGGGCGUAAAGCGUAC
rnacentral:rRNA from 1 species